UAUAAUUCCGUGUUCGUUCAAACACUAAUAACUCUGUAGUUUCGUCUUUCCUGCCUCCCGAUUUUCGCCGCCGCCAGUUCUCCAUGACAAGUUCUAAUUUUCCCCAAAACCAAGUCACACGCCGAGUCCGCCGGAAAAUCCACCGGAAAAUGGGGUUUCGAAAGCGGUGCUUUAUGAUGGCGAAGCACCAAAAAACCCGGUUCUACAUCCUCGGACGCUGCGUUUCGAUGCUCCUCUGCUGGCACGACCACUCCAUAUCAGAUUAGCCAAUAGCCAGAGCUAGCUAGCUCCAAGAAUUUUCCAAAUUGAUUGGUCAACGUGGCACAGUCUUAUUGCUUGUGCUGUUUUCCAAGAGUUCAAAGUGAAAGCUGAGGAAGAAAAGCUGCGGUUAUGGGAAACAUGGUUGGUGAUAGAGCUUUUGGGUCAAGGACUCAAAUUUUCAAGGGCAAGGCCAAAAUUAUACACCAAAGCCAAAGAAUGAUUCUUUGUAUUUUUGACCUUAGAUUUGCUUCUUUUGCUUCAUGUGAAUCCAUGUACAUAUUCAAAGAUUGAAAGGAGAAAUACCAAAUGGAAAACAGUGACUCGUUUACUAUUAUUUUGUGUUGGUUGAUUGAAUAUCUG
rnacentral:lncRNA from 1 species